GAGUUUGAUCCUGGCUCAGGACGAACGCUGGCGGCGUGCCUAAUACAUGCAAGUUGAACGCAACAAAGACACCAGAGCUUGCUCUACCGUCUUUGUUGAGUAGCGAACGGGUGAGUAACGCGUGGGUAACCUGCCUUAUAGCGGGGGAUAACUAUUGGAAACGAUAGCUAAUACCGCAUAACAAUAGAGAUUGCAUAAUCUUUAUUUGAAAGUGCCAACUGGUACACUAUGAGAUGGACCCGCGUUGUAUUAGCUAGUUGGUAGUGUAAUGGACUACCAAGGCGAUGAUACAUAGCCGACCUGAGAGGGUGAUCGGCCACAUUGGGACUGAGACACGGCCCAAACUCCUACGGGAGGCAGCAGUAGGGAAUCUUCGGCAAUGGACGAAAGUCUGACCGAGCAACGCCGCGUGAGUGAAGAAGGUUUUCGGAUCGUAAAACUCUGUUGUUAGAGAAGAAUGUUGAUUAGAGUGGAAAAUUAAUCAAGUGACGGUAUCUAACCAGAAAGGGACGGCUAACUACGUGCCAGCAGCCGCGGUAAUACGUAGGUCCCGAGCGUUGUCCGGAUUUAUUGGGCGUAAAGCGAGCGCAGGUGGUUUAAUAAGUCUGAUGUAAAAGGCAGUGGCUCAACCAUUGUGUGCAUUGGAAACUGUUAGACUUGAGUGCAGUAGAGGAGAGUGGAAUUCCAUGUGUAGCGGUGAAUGCGUAGAUAUAUGGAGGAACACCGGUGGCGAAGCGGCUCUCUGGACUGUCACUGACACUGAGGCUCGAAAGCGUGGGUAGCAACAGGAUAGAUACCUGGUAGUCCCGCCGUAACGAUGAUGCUA
rnacentral:rRNA from 1 species